ACCAUUCCUGUCACAAAACUCCUGCUUUGCAGCUUUGCUUGAUCCACUCUGCACCCAACAAAGUUUCUAGACAGAAAUACCACUGGCUCACAAAACCCUCAGUAUAACUCUACUCCAAAUGGCAAGCCCAACAGGUAAAAGAAAAUGUCUGCAGCCUUCCUUCAUAAAAGUGCUUUUUCCUUAUUUGUUCUUCCCCUGUUAAGAAUCCAGAAAAUAGAGCUGAAUCUGAGUUCCUUUUUUGGCUGAUGAUUAAACAUUCUCACCAUUAUAUAAUAUGAUUUCCAUUUUAUUUUAAACAUACUUUGCAUGAUAUAAAAAUAUUGAUCACAGUGAGCUUUAACAAUUGUUACUGC